CCCUUUAAGCACAGAGAAACAGCAAUGGCAAAAGCUUCAGUGUUGUUUCCAUGCAUGAUGGUUUUAUGUCUCGUAAUAUUUGCAACAGGUAUUGUGGAUGGUUGUAACUACCCUUGUCAUGGGCCAAAUGCUUGUGGUAAUCUGCACUGUGAUCUUAAAGGUUGCGUAAAGAAAUGCGUCAACUCUUGCUGCCUUUGUGAUUGCAGUGGAAAUGAAAAACCUCAAAUAAACAUGUAAUAGUCUUUGUUGUGGAAUUUAUCAGUAAUAAGAGAAGUUGAAGUAAUAAUA